rnacentral:piRNA from 1 species
UGCUGCUUGAGCUUGGUGUCUAAUGGGA